AAAAGAAGAUGUUAUGAGCUUCCAAAUGCUCCAGCAAAAAAACAUGCUCUUUAUUCCAAUAGACCGUGUAUACUUAACUCUCACUCUUUAUCCAUUCGUAGAGCAAAACUGGGAUAAAGCAUAGAAGUUGUCCAACAAAAAUAAAUUGCUAGUAACUUAUAAAGAUGUCAAAUGUCAAGUUGUCAAAUCGCUAGGGACGGCAGUGACUUCUUUUCCAACAUCAAAUCACAGGGAUUUGUUAAGAAUUUCAGGGUACAAAAAGUCGCAUUGACAAUAUGAAUAAUGUUCUUAGUCGUAAUAUGUCUUAAAUGGAAUCCAACAUAAAUUUUGUUUCCUAGUACAAUAACUCUCUCUGAAAACAUAUAUAUAAUAAGAUAGUUCGAAUUCUUCUUGACAUUUCAAUGUCUUGAAGUUAAGAACAUGAAUAUGAUAAUCCAAAAGAAAUAUCUAAUUUGACCACAUUUCAAUGUCUUGAAGUUGCAACAUGGAUGUUCAGAGACAAAUUGUGAAAUGCUUGGUUGACAAGAUAAGAAUUUAUCAAAAACAUAAGCUAAACUUUAUUCUCAAUGAACAUGUAGCUACCUAUAUGUAUCCUUCUUCUUUCAUACUGUUCAAUGCAUUUAGGGUUUUAGAUUUAGUAAUAUAGCAGUACGUUUACUGUUAUGUCUAAUGAAAUCAAAUCUUUUGCAAGGUAUGAUAAAUUCUGUGCUAUUGAUGUUGCAAGAUUUUAAGCAAAAUUGGUGGUCUCUGCAUAAUCUGAGACCAUAAUUAGAACCAAACUUACUCAUAAUUGGAUUAAUUAUGCAUCCCAAGCUCUUAUCCAACAUUUUCCUCUCAUCCAAAUGUGGUCGUGUGUAUGAAUGUUGAUCAGCUGGUGUAUGCAAAUUAAUAUUACUGAACUUUAAACAGAUCUUGAGAUAUAAACAUUUGUGGGCACUGCCAUAAAGUACUAUCACUACCUUCCUUAUACACGAAUGAAGGAUGCACUAGGAUGUUUGAAAUAUCUGUCUCGAUAUUCAUAAUUUGGUGAAUAAUCGUCUAAGAAAAGUUAAUGGGAAUAUCAAAAUCACAUAUUUAGUCAAACAUUAAAUUCUUUGUGUACGACCUCCUUUGCCAGAAAAAAUAAAAAUAAAAAAGAGACUAAAGUUAAUGAAUAGUAGAGGCGUCAACAAGGACAAAGGAUUAAGUUUUUCUUAGUUCACCCUCAUUCUGAAGUCGUGAGAACUUAUGAGUAAUGCUAGAUUCUCUCACACAUUGGUCAUUAACCUAAAAUACAUAAAUCCUUCAUUUUAAAAAUACUGCAUGAAUGUUGAAUAUGUUAUAACUUACAAGUACAAUCAAGUUUUAUAUGAAACAUGAAAUACAACAGAAAACUAAAAUUCACUAAGUUGAAAGGGAAUUCUUUGUUCUGAAAAAAUGAAAAUCAGUUCAAUUCCAAUUCAUAUUAGUAGACAGCAUCUUGUUUCCCAACAAAAUGAAGCCAAAACCUGAGUGGUAAGUAUAAAUUUUCACUUUUAUGUCUUUAUAAUUUCACAUGUUAAGAUGUGAAUAACUUAGAUUAUUAAAAAAAAAUAUUGGUAUAAAUUUAUAACGUUGACCUUAUCUGAUAUGAGCACUAGCCUUAUAUAAGCCUACCUAUUAUGGCUCAUUUUUGGCUUCGAUUUCAAUUUAUUCUUUAGUCUAAAAUUCAGUGUGGCCUAAGAUUAUAUUAAGCUCAGUUUGAAUUGGUUUGAUUCACUAUCAUAAUUGGACAUUGGAAGGGUUGUUGCAUCUUAGUGUCAUUCUCUGUGUUCAUUUUUCUUGUUUCUAUUUGAUUGACAGCGUUAUCAUGCAUACUUUAUGUAUGAGGUUGAUUCGUGGAGCAUCAUGUGUACAGGUUUGGUUCUUCUUCUUAACUCUAUAUUUCCAUUUUCUUGAUAGGUGAGUUUUGUAGUCCAUGUAAUGCAUACUGGGAAUAAUGUUAUGAGUUCACUGUUCAAAUGGAUUUUGUUUGUGACUAUUUUUAUCGACAGCAUUGCCCUGAAAAUCAUUUUUAUUUUAUUUUAAUUUACUUCAACUGUCGCGGUAAUUUCUGAUCACUAUAUGCUUAGCCACUGUAGUUUAAUUAAGUUUACUUAUAAUUUUUGUAGCAUAAACUGUUUCUUUAUAUGUAUUCUCAUACUAUUCAUGCAAUUUAACCCUCCCAGUUGACAUUCCCCAAAUAAAUCUAUGGAAAAUAAGCAAAGAAAGAUAUUGAAUAACCAAUUAAUUCUGUUGGCAUGGGUACAAAUUCUUAUUCUUGUCGUUAAAAGAUUAAGGUUGCUUUGCAUUAUAUGCUUCCCUAUAUUUACUUCAGAAUUCAAACAAAGCAAUGUCAAGGUCUUGUAACGAUCACAUUUUUUCUUGGUGGUUUGGGAGGAAAGAAGAUCUUGUGAAAUAUUUUUAGGUGUUUGCCUACCUACUGAUUAUGAUUGUCUUGGAUUUCCUUGUCAAGGACUAAGAAUUUGGUGGAUGUUGAGAAAAAUCUAUGGUGCUAAUUUAUAAAUCAACAAAGUUUUGAAUGUUGCCCCAAUAACAGAAGGGGCGUGCUACAAGAACAGGGGGCUGACCGCCCCCUGACCGAACCCCACAAAUAGGGGGGAGUGCCCACGUUUUUUUGCUGGCCCCACCCCCAUUUGAGGGGCUCCUGUCAGGGAGGCGGUCAGCUUCCCUGUUACAGGAGCAUUUUCCAUAGCAGAAAAUCUUUUAAGUAUUGACAUGUCUUAUUCUUUAAUUUUAAAAUCAUGGCUUACCAAGCUAAUCUUAUCUAGUACUUCAUUGCUAAUUCGAAGCCUAUCACAGAGGGGGUUACCAUUUUGGUGUGCUUCAUGGUAAUCACUGGAUUACUGCACAAUUCAAAGUACCAUUGGAGAUUAUUUUAGUAUUCUUGCUUCUCUAGCAUGCUCUUAGUAGUCUUCUGGUUACACCUUAUGCUGAGGUAAUCGGUCAUUUAAACACAAUUCAUAUUCAAAUUAUCACAGCUUAUAUUAACAAUCAGAAUAAGAUUUAGUAGUACGAGAUGAAAAUUUACAGAAAUUACUUCAAGUGAAGAAUUGAUCAUAUUACAUUUUUAAUUUGCCUUUUUGCUUCCAAACACGAGUUCAUUCUUAUUUUUCUUUCUAUGCUAACCUCACCCGUUUAAUUCUCUAAUUCAAUAGCUUCCAUCAAUUAGCAAGAACACAUUCCAUUAAAUACCUUAUUAUUUGAGAUACAGGUUUCACACCAGUUCAGGAAAAGCAAUCAAGUGACGGAUUUAUUAACAAAAAUGGGUGCACAAGGGGUAAUGCAGAGAUUUACAUCUUGUGGUGACUUGUUCGGUUGGACCGCAUUGGAGUUCCCUACUUACGUAAGUGAGUUGAUUGGUCUAGAAAAUUUUUAAAUUCGCUAUUUGUAAGGCUAUUUUGUCAUCACGGUAUUCCUCAGCCAUAAGUGAGGAUUGUUUUCAAUAAAAUUAUUGGUUGACUUUAAAAAAAAAAAAAUUCUCAUUAUUUAUUUCCACUCUGAUUGAGUUUACACCCAUCCUACAGAUAGGCAAAGUUUAAGUGGGAUAUCUCAUGGCUUCCGUUUGGGACACUAAGGUAAACCAUGUUUGAACUCUGUUUCAACAUAUAGUUACUAACACAGGUUAUAAUAGAUUUAUUGAGGUAAGCAUUGAUUCUAAAAUAGUAGUGCAUCUGGGAUCUGCCUUUAUGUGAAUCAUGUACUCAAAGAGUCUUCUGAAGUGGGGCAAAAUUUACAACUACAAUCAAAGAGAACUUAAUUCAGAAAUUUGAUCUCAUCAAUCAAUACUCUAAGCCUCGUUUUAACUGCUAAACAUGCAUUGAAAAUAUUGAUGUUAAUGUAGUUUUAUAUUCAAAAAUAAAGAAUAAAUAUGCAUGUAUGACAUAUCUUGCUUGAAGUCUGCUUACAUUAUGGUUUUAAUAUGUAUGCAUUUAAUUCCUCUCGAAAAGGUUACAUCAAUUUUUAACUUAUUGGUUUAGGGUUCAAAAAAUAUAGUGGUUUAGAUAAAUUCAUCUGAAUCAGAUUAAUCUUUUUGCUUUGAUGUUUAAUGGUGAUUUGCUCAUUGUGUUUUAGAUAGUAGAUCAUUGAUACCUAGAAAGGAGCAGGCCCAGCUUUUGAGAGGGGUUACAACUCUGGUACCCGGGUUUCAUAUGGUUUAUAUAGAUAUUCCUUUAAAUAAUAGAGGUUGUUUCGUGUAAGUUUGGGAAGAAAUAUUCUGAUUUGAAUGCAUCAAUGGGAUUCCAUGGUCAAUAUGCUUCGCCAAUUCUUAUGUAAUUUUGACUUUUCUUUUAAUCUUUACAUUCUUUGACAGAUGAUAAUCCAAAAUUGCAAAAGCAAAUAAAAUGUAUGUAAUUUACGAGAAUCCAAUACAUUUAACACACUAAAAUUACCGUCAAAAUAACCUAGUGCACGGGCAAAGAUUAGUAUAG
rnacentral:lncRNA from 1 species